rnacentral:lncRNA from 1 species
AAGGGGCCCAGGUGUCCGGGAAAAAGGGCCCAGGCGUCCGGGAAAAGGGGCCCAGGUGUCCGGGAAGGGGCCCAGGAGUCCGGGAAAAGGGGCCCAGGUGUCUGGGAAAGGGGCCCGGGUGUCCGGGAAAAGGGGCCCAGGCGUCCGGGAAAAGGGGCCCAGGCGUCCGGGGAAGGGGCCCAGGCGUCCGGGAAAAGGGGCCCAGGCAUCCGGGAAGGGGCCCAGGUGUCCGGGGAAGGGGCCCAGGCGUCCGGGAAAAGGGGCCCAGGCAUCCGGGAAAAGGGGCCCAGGCAUCCGGGAAAAGGGGCCCAGG